ensembl:lncRNA
CUCCGUCACGGGAGAUCUCAGGUGAGUCCUUCACUCCUCUUUCCUUCUGGCUAUGUGACGACAAUCAGCUUAUUCGCAAGUGCCCCUUUGUUCUGGCUUGCAGGACGACUGUCCAGGGCCCUCUCCUUUCCUGGACGUAACAGAUACAAGUGGUAAGUAUUGAGAGUUUGGAUGCACAAUGGAUACCUGCUGCUACUUUUGACGAACUCCGAGGCGACCCAGCGGAUUAUACUCCCGGUCGUCCAGAUGCUGGGGGAACUGCCCAAGGGCUGCCGGGAUCCAACUAAAACCGUACUGGUAAGUGUACGGGAGGGGGUUUCCACGGUCUCUGUAUCCUGAGUGACGAGUCGACAUGCAGGUAGACGCUUCAAAGGGACCCGCUAGAUCUGCACAAGAGCAUAAAGGUAAGUGUAACAGGACUGGACACGGAUAGUGGACAGAGGGGCCGCUGGCUCUUCACUCGGGGGCACAAGUAAGUCCGUAGGAAAGACAACUGGGGUUUCACUUGAGCAUACAGGCGAGUGUACAACACAAUAUGUUGGCUUUAGCUUUGGGCAUAAGGUAAGUACAUCCAAUACAACUGGGACUUCACUCUGGGCAGACAGGCGAGUGUACAACACAAUAUGCUGGCUUUAGCUUUGGGCAUAAGGUAAGUACAUCCAAUAUAACUGGGACUUUACUCUGGGCAGACAGGCGAGUGUACAACACAAUAUGCUGGCUUUAGCUUUGGGCAUAAGGUAAGUACAUCCAAUACAACUGGGACUUCACUCUGGGCAGACAGGCGAGUGUACAACACAAUAUGCUGGCUUUAGCUUUGGGCAUAGGGUAAGUACAUCCAAUAUAACUGGGACUUUACUCUGGGCAGACAGGUGGGUGUACAACACAAUAUGCUGACUUUAGCUUUGGGCAUACGCUUACGGUGAAUAUACAGGGAAACAGGAAGUGAUGUAACUCACAGACCUUCGAAGGAAUAGACGUCAGACGUUCCUUUUCUGAGGCUUCUACCAACUGCUGAUAGAGAGGCGGAUCGAAAACUGUUGCGUUGGGCCGAACACGGCCUCCGCUGGCGUCACACACAGGUAAGUUGUCUCACCCGGGGUGUACUACACUGGAUGGGUCGAACGCUUCCCUCUUCUUUCUACCAACCGACAAGUCAAGAGAUCUAGACAGGGGCGAACCUUUGAAGAACUCCACAGCAGGUAAUAAUACACGCACAGCUGAUUUCCUCCUACAGCAGCCAACUCCUCACCAUUGAUACUUCCCAAUAGAUCCACACUGUUCUUACUUGAAAUUGUUUCCCACCACCGUCACGUGGGGAAGAAGGGUCAGGAUGUCAUCGACGGCAUAUAAUUGGAGAUGUUUUCUUCGCCCGCCUC